GACGAACGCUGGCGGCGUGCUUAACACAUGCAAGUCGAACGGGAAGGCCCUGCUUUUGUGGGGGGCUCGAGUGGCGAACGGGUGAGUAACACGUGAGUAGCCUGCCCUUGACUGUGGGAUAACUUCAGUAAACUGUGGCUAAUACCGGAUAGGAGCUCCUGCGGCAUGGUGGGGGUUGGAAAGUUUCGGCGGUUGGGGAUGGACUCGCGGCUUAUCAGCUUGUUGGUGGGGUAGUGUCUUACCAAGGCAUUGACGGGUAGCCGGCCUGAGAGGGUGACCGGCCACAUUGGGACUGAGAUGCGGCCCAGACUCCUACGGGAGGCAGCAGUGGGGAAUAAUGCACCAUGGGCGGAAGCCUGAUGAAGCAACGCCGCGUGCGGGAUGAAGGCCUUCGGGUUGUAAACCGCUUUCGCCUGUGACGAAGAGUGAGUGACGGUAAUGGGUAAAGAAGCACCGGCUAACUACGUG
rnacentral:rRNA from 1 species